rnacentral:misc_RNA from 1 species
UUUCCGUAGGUGAACCUGCGGAGGGAUCAUUAUUGUAUAACAAAGGUCCGAGAACUAUCGCUGACGCGACCGAUCGUGCACGCCCGACUGCCCUCACACGCGUCCAUCUCACCCCUGUGUGCACCACCGCGUGGGUGCCCCUUUCGCUUGUUCGGAGGGGGGCUUACGUUUUCACCCAAACUUAGUCUGCUGUGUAGAAUGUGUUUUUUGUUUUUGCAAUCACGCGAUCAAUACAACUUUCAACGACGAAUCCAUUAGCUCUGGCAUCGAUGAGGAACG